UGCCCAGCAACUCCUAUCCCAACCUCCUCGUGGUACUGGCCGGGGUACGGAUAAUCUUAGGGAAGAUCUGGUAACCAACCCCGGAGGGAACUUUGGUCGUAUGCUGGCAGGGAAGG
rnacentral:ribozyme from 1 species